GAAUUUUUAGGGUGAAGUUUAUAUUAAGAAUCUCCUUUCUUCUCUAAGGAGGAGGGAGCCUCAAGUCCUGCAAAACUAUGAGGGGUGAAAUGACAUCACUCAGAACUGAAAAUUAUUCCUUAAACAUCCAGCUUCAGAUUAGAGCCAACAGCGAGUUAACUGACUUCUAGUGACUCUGCGAGACCAAUGCAAGAAUCCAGUCCCAGCCUAUUUUCUGCUUAUUGAGGACCUGCCAUGUGAUGGGAUGAAGUCAAUAAAUCAUGUGUCAGCUGUGA